UACGGGGGGAGCAAGCGUUGUUCGGAUUUACUGGGCGUAAAGGGCGGGUAGGCGGCCACUGCAAGUCGGUUGUGAAAUCUCCGGGCUUAACCCGGAAAGGUCAAUCGAUACUGCAGGGCUAGAGUGCAGAAGGGGCAACUGGAAUUCUCGGUGUAGCGGUGAAAUGCGUAGAUAUCGAGAGGAACACCUGCGGCGAAGGCGGGUUGCUGGGCUGACACUGACGCUGAACUGCGAAAGCUAGGGGAGCGAACGGG
rnacentral:rRNA from 1 species